rnacentral:rRNA from 1 species
CAAGAAUGCUACCUGGUUGAUCCUGCCAGUAA